AUUGAACGCUGGCGGCAUGCCUUACACAUGCAAGUCGAACGGCAGCAUAGGAGCUUGCUCCUGAUGGCGAGUGGCGAACGGGUGAGUAAUAUAUCGGAACGUGCCCUAGAGUGGGGGAUAACUAGUCGAAAGACUAGCUAAUACCGCAUACGAUCUACGAAUGAAAGUGGGGGAUCGCAAGACCUCAUGCUCCUGGAGCGGCCGAUAUCUGAUUAGCUAGUUGGUGGGGUAAAAGCUCACCAAGGCGACGAUCAGUAGCUGGUCUGAGAGGACGACCAGCCACACUGGGACUGAGACACGGCCCAGACUCCUACGGGAGGCAGCAGUGGGGAAUUUUGGACAAUGGGGGCAACCCUGAUCCAGCAAUGCCGCGUGAGUGAAGAAGGCCUUCGGGUUGUAAAGCUCUUUUGUCAGGGAAGAAACAGUUCUGGAUAAUACCUGGGACUAAUGACGGUACCUGAAGAAUAAGCACCGGCUAACUACGUGCCAGCCGCCGCCGUAA
rnacentral:rRNA from 1 species